GGGGGUAUAGCUCAGUGGUAGAGCAUUUGAAUCAGAUCAAGAGGUCCCUGGUUCAAAUCCAAGUGCCCCCU
rnacentral:tRNA from 2 species